rnacentral:rRNA from 1 species
UACGAGAGGUCCAAACGUUAUUCGGAAUCACUGGGCUUACAGAGUUCGUAGGCGGUUCUACAAGUGGGGUGUGAAAGCCCUCGGCUCAACCGAGGAAGUGCGCCCGAAACUGCAGAGCUUGAGUACCGGAGAGGAUGGCGGAAUUCCCCAAGUAGAGGUGAAAUUCGUAGAUAUGGGGAGGAACACCGGUGGCGAAGGCGGCCAUCUGGACGGAUACUGACGCUGAGACGCGAAAGCGUGGGUAGCAAACAGG